CGGGAGGCAGCAGUGGGGAAUUUUGGACAAUGGGCGCAAGCCUGAUCCAGCAAUGCCGCGUGCAGGAUGAAGGCCUUCGGGUUGUAAACUGCUUUUGUACGGAACGAAACGGUCUGCUUUAAUACAGUAGGCUAAUGACGGUACCGUAAGAAUAAGCACCGGCUAACUACGUGCCAGCAGCCGCGGUAAUACGUAGGGUGCGAGCGUUAAUCGGAAUUACUGGGCGUAAAGCGUGCGCAGGCGGUUAUGUAAGACAGAUGUGAAAUCCCCGGGCUCAACCUGGGACCUGCAUUUGUGACUGCAUAGCUAGAGUACGGUAGAGGGGGAUGGAAUUCCGCGUGUAGCAGUGAAAUGCGUAGAUAUGCGGAGGAACACCGAUGGCGAAGGCAAUCCCCUGGACCUGUACUGACGCUCAUGCACGAAAGCGUGGGGAGCAAACAGGAUUAGAUACCCGAGU
rnacentral:rRNA from 1 species